UACAGAGGUCUCAAGCGUUGUUCGGAUUCAUUGGGCGUAAAGGGUGUGUAGGUGGCGCCGUAAGUCGGGUGUGAAAUUUCGGAGCUUAACUCCGAAACUGCAUUCGAUACUGCGGUGCUUGAGGACUGGAGAGGAGACUGGAAUUCCACGUGUAGCAGUGAAAUGCGUAGAGAUGUGGAGGAACACCAAUGGCGAAGGCAGCCCCCUGGGAUGACACUGACGCUCAUGCACGAAAGCGUGGGGAGCAAACAGG
rnacentral:rRNA from 1 species